GGCCGGCCUAGUAUUUUAUAGUGUGGGCCUUUUUGGCGGUGGCUUUUUCUGUCUUUUCUUUGGUCUUUGCUGCCUCUCGGCCUACGUGGCCGAGUUUCCCCGAUGUACCGCCUCUCUCUUCUCUCGCCGGCUGUCGUUCUUUAGCCCUUUAUGCUAUUUUGCACAGAAGCCUCCUUUGGGGCGGUGUCCUCUGGUUUUUUCUCUCUCUCUCUCUCUCUCUCAGGGAUGCGUGCCGGCAAACAGUGGCCGGCCCGGCUUAAUGUAUGGGCCUUGUCGCCUGUGGCUUUUUUCUUUCUUUUCUUUUCUUUUCUUUUCUUUUUGCUGCCUCUCGGCCUACGUGGUCGGGUUUCCCACGAUGCACCGCCUCUCUCUUCUCUCUCGGCUGUCGUUCUUUACCCCUUUAUGCGAGUUUGCACCGAAGCCUCCUUUGGGGCGACGGCCCCUCUUUCUUCCUGUCUGGGAAUCGUGCGGGCCAACGGUGGCCGGCCUAGUAUUUUAUAGUGUGGGCCUUUUUGGCGGUGGCUUUUUCUGUCUUUUCUUUGGUCUUUGCUGCCUCUCGGCCUACGUGGCCGAGUUUCCCCGAUGUACCGCCUCUCUCUUCUCUCGCCGGCUGUCGUUCUUUAGCCCUUUAUGCUAUUUUGCACAGAAGCCUCCUUUGGGGCGGUGUCCUCUGGUUUUUUCUCUCUCUCUCUCUCUCUCUCAGGGAUGCGUGCCGGCAAACAGUGGCCGGCCCGGCUUAAUGUAUGGGCCUUGUCGCCUGUGGCUUUUUUCUUUCUUUUCUUAUCUUUUCUUUUCUUUUUGCUGCCUCUCGGCCUACGUGGUCGGGUUUCCCACGAUGCACCGCCUCUCUCUUCUCUCGCCGGCUGUCGUUCUUUACCCCUUUAUGCGAUUUUGCACAGAAGCCUCCUUUGGGGCGGCGGCCCCUCUUUCUUCCUCACAGGGAAGCGUGCCGGCCAACGGUGGCACGCCUAGUAUUUCAACGUGUGGGCCUUGUCGGCCUAUGUGGUCGACGUGUUUCCCACGAUGCACCGCCUCUGUCUUCUCUCGCGGCUGUCGUUCUUUACCCCUUGGUGCAAUCUUGCACAGAACCCUUUUGACAGAUGGAAGGGCUAUCUGAGCCUUGCGAAAGUGGUUACGGAGAUCAUCGCGGAACGCAAGAAGGUCCCAUUUCCAUCUCAGAGUUUGGACACAAUGGAGUACGACAUGCAGCUAGUCCUCAACGAGGACAACUUUGAAACAGCAUCACAAUGGGUUAAUGGAAGCAGUUCCAGCAGCAAGAGCUCCAAAGGUAGUGCCAAUGGCCAGGCUUCCCAAAACAAGGAGAUUUGCAAUUUCUGCAAACACAACGGGGAAUCCAAGCAGGUCUAUUCGUCCCACCGGCUGAAGGGGAUGGACGGCACCGUGGAGUGCCCCAUCUUGCGCAAAUACACCUGUCCGCUCUGCGGUGCCACGGGCGAAAAGGCCCAUACUUUAAAAUACUGCCCACUGAGCCAAGGGAAGAGGUCGCUGUAUCGCAAGUGCGGACGUAACUCGGCUGGACGCAAGGUGAGGAGAUAAGAAGAUCAGGAGAAGACCGAAGCAUUUAUUCUUAGUUUUAGUUUGACUUUGUAAAAGAACAACAUUUGAUUUCGAGCAUCAUUAACACUCUUUACAUUUCCUCCCACUUUGUUUCAGGUUUGGAGAAUGGAAGCCCAAUUCUCUUAGACUACAUUUAUGUGUCAGUUGCCUAGUGUGAUGAUUCAUGGGCCCUGCAGUCCUAUUCCUGACAGUAUUGUGGCAGAUGAGGAGGAAAAUAUGGAGUUUUCCCCAGAUUUCCGGUCGGAGUCAGAGCCUUGGCAGCUGCCUGAAGUUCUAGUCCAAGAACCAAUUAAACCUGACCUUGGUGGGAACUCUCCCCCUUAUGGGAGAAAACAGGCUUACACGACUGAUAGAGGAUCGAGAGAAAAAUUUAGAAGGAGUGCUCGCCUUGCUGCCAAAUAUGCCACUGAUUAGAAGUAUUUCCCCUGAGAAAAUACGGGGAGUCUUGCACCUGCAAGCUGGUUUCCUUCGCUCCCUGUUCUCUAGGGAAAGUGAUUGUUGUUUGGGGAAACGAGACCCAAUAUAGGGAAAUUGCGCGAAGGAUUCCUUGCGGAGUCAAUUCGUCAGCUCCUGGAGAGAGGUCAUGUGUGUGUGGACUUCGAAUCCUGUUCCUUGCCUCCUGAAUCUAGUUCCAAGCCUUGUCCUCGUCUCACGGAUUUACCACAGAUCUUGUUCCAUGCUUCAAGUUGCUUUGCCUUUAGCCACAGCUCCAGCCACGUUCCAAGUAACUUUCAGCCUUGUGUCAAGCUUCAUUGGAUUCAAGACUUUUUCUGUUUUCCCAACGCUUUGCUUGGCAAAGCGUGUGUUGCGGUUAUUGGAUUAUAAUCUUUGGACUCUAAUAUUUCAUAUUGGACAAUAAUCUGCUGGACUAUAUUUGGCCUCAUUUGAAAGGUCUGCUUCUGAACUUUAUUCUACACUUGUUUUUAUUGACUUUAUAUAUUCCUUUAAUAAAGAUAUUAGAUAGAAUCUGGCCUCAGUGUAUGGUUAUUGGUGCCCAGCAGCCUAUAUCCUGACACCUUGUAUCAUGCUUUUUUAUACAUAUAAUCAUGUUUUUUACAUAUGUAAUAUCACGUUCCUUUGACAUCUGUAAUUGCCUUAUAUCAUAUUUUAUAUUGUGUUUUAUAUAUGCAGUUACUUUACAUGUUUCUUUUAUGUAUGGAUGUAUAAUUUUUACAUGUUUAAUUAUAUUAUUUGCAACUAUAAUUGCCUAAUAUCAUGCUUCUUUUAUAUAUGCAAUGACAUCAUGUUUAUUUAACGUAUAUAAGUGCCUUAUAUCAUGUCCGGGUUAUCAUGUGUGUCUCCAGAGGGAUGCAGCCCUAUCCUUUGCAGGGAAAAUAUAGAAAUAUCUUCUAAAUGGCUACUGUCUAGAAUUUUGUUUUGUAAAGAAAGGAAAAGUUUAUAUGCUAUUGGAAAGAAAGAUACUAUUUUAUGUUUAAAUUUUGGAAAGGAAUAGAAUUGGUUAUUAUUACUGUGGUCUAACCUUCAAUUGUUUGCAAGUUGUUCUAAAGUUUGGAUCGUAGAGUUUAAUAAACAGAGUUUAUGGUUUUGGCAUCAAAACUGUUCAUGUUGUGCUUAAAUGGGAUUGAAUUUUCUUUAAUUUGUGGCCCAUAAUAGGCUGGUUAUAAGCCUGAUCUGGAAGGCAGCCAAGGCAAAGACCAUUGAGCUGCUGAACUUGCAGACUGAAAGGUCCCAGGUUCAAAUCCCGGGAGCAGAGUGAGCGCCCGCUGUUAGCUCCAGCUUCUGCCAACCUAGCAGCUUGAAAACAUGCCAAUGUGAGUAGAUGAAUAGGUACCGCUGUGGCGGGAAGGUAAUGGCACUCCAUGUAGUCAUGCCGACCACAUGACCUUGGAGGUGUCUAUGGACAACACUGGCUCUUGGGGUUAGAAAUGGAGGUGAGCACAACCCCCAGAGUCAGACAUGACUGAACUUAACGUCAAGGGAUACCUUUACACACACACACAUGCAGGGACUACACCAAUUUAACAAAGUUUCAGCCACAAAAACAAAGUUUCUAAAGUAGAGCAAUGACUUUCACAGUAAAGACAACCCAAUUUAACAGGAAAUAAGACUUUCAAACCAGGAACAGAUUUCUGCAAUUAUUAAAAAAUGGUUCAUUAUAAAAGCUAUGAAAAUUUGCCAAAAAUCAGAGGAUAAGGGAAACGUUCCACAUUUUGGUGAGCUAUCAGUGUUAAAUGUGUUCUACCACUGUACCAAGUUUGAAGAAGAUCACUCAAAAAAUGAGGGCGGGAGAGCCCCCUAAGUCCCCCCCCUUCGGGCUGUUUUUGGGCCACCGCGCAUGCGCGUCCGCCAUUAACGAAUUAAUUUAGAAAAUAACGAAUUUUCGUUAAUUUCGAAAAAUUUUGGGGGCCAAAUUCGUUAUUAGCAACAAAAACGAAAAACUGCCCCCUCUAGUUUUGAAACGAGUUUAGAAUCAAAUUUUUCAUGGAUCGAUCAAGCCUAU